rnacentral:rRNA from 1 species
UACGGAGGGUGCGAGCGUUGUCCGGAAUCAUUGGGCGUAAAGGGCGCGUAGGUGGCCCGGUCAGUUCGUGGUGAAAGCGCGGGGCUCAACCCUGCGUCGGCCAUGAAUACUGCCGCGGCUGGGAGCACUGUAGAGGCAGGCGGAAUUCCGGGUGUAGCGGUGGAAUGCGUAGAGAUCCGGAAGAACACCGGUGGCGAAGGCGGCCUGCUGGG